rnacentral:rRNA from 1 species
UACGUAGGGUGCAAGCGUUGUCCGGAAUUAUUGGGCGUAAAGAGCUCGUAGGCGGUUUGUUGCGUCGGCUGUGAAAUCCCGAGGCUCAACCUCGGGUCUGCAGUCGAUACGAGCAAACUAGAGUGUUGCAGGGGAGACUGGAAUUCCUGGUGUAGCGGUGAAAUGCGCAGAUAUCAGGAGGAACACCGGUGGCGAAGGCGGGGUCUCUGGGCCGAUAAUUCGACGCUGGAGGGAGCGAAAGCGUGGGGAGCGAACAGG